rnacentral:rRNA from 1 species
UACGUAGGUGGCAAGCGUUGUCCGGAAUUAUUGGGCGUAAAGCGCGCGCAGGCGGUCCUUUAAGUCUGAUGUGAAAGCCCACGGCUCAACCGUGGAGGGUCAUUGGAAACUGGGGGACUUGAGUGCAGGAGAGAAGAGUGGAAUUCCCGGUGUAGCGGUGAAAUGCGCAGAUAUCGGGAAGAACACCCGUGGCGAAGGCGGUUCUCUGGGACGGUACUGACGCUGAGACGCGAAAGCGUGGGGAGCGAACAGG